UACGUAGGGGGCAAGCGUUGUCCGGAAUCAUUGGGCGUAAAGAGCGUGUAGGCGGCCCGAUAAGUCCGCUGUGAAAGUCCAGGGCUCAACCCUGGAAUGCCGGUGGAUACUGUCGGGCUCGAAUCCGGAAGAGGUGAGUGGAAUUCCCGGUGUAGCGGUGAAAUGCGCAGAUAUCAGGAGGAACACCGAUGGCGAAGGCAGAUCUCUGGGCCGUAACUGACGCUGAGGAGCGAAAGCAUGGGGAGCGAACAGG
rnacentral:rRNA from 1 species